GUACACACAUACAUAUCUACAACAUAUUUUGAACACAGACACAAGAACAUAUAUAAGCCUACUAUAUACGUUCAUCUAAAUCAGAUAUUAAACAUUGAAAUACAGAAGAAAAAUGCAUAUACCCGUUGUUAGCUCAUGAAUGUACAAACACUCAAAGAAAUAGCAUUACAGUUAUAGAAAACACAUAUACACGUACACUCACAACACUUACACACUUGCAAAUAUACAUCUUAUCAAAAUACUACGCUGCAAACUAAAAGAAUAUAGUCGAGACAAGGAUUUCAGUGCUAUAUUAAUAGAACGUUGACCAUCUAAUUUAAACAUGUCUGUGUAACUUUGAUUUAAAGUUUACAUUUCUAUUAUACAUAAAACAACUGUCAUUAGAUAUUAUUUUCAACCUUUUUCCAUUACAGAAAAAUACUGUAGAUUUUCUUUUUGUUCUUUUUCUUGUCUUCUCAGUUUAUUUGAGGUAAGAAUUUUCGCAGGCAAUUUCAGAUUUGCAAAAUCGAUGUAGUAUUUUUUUCUUUACAAUGAUUAAUAAUCUAUAUAUUAAACAGUUUUUGCACCAUAAGCCUUUGCUGAAUAUUAAAUGAAUUAUAUAUAUUCUCGCUCUGUGUAGUUAAAAUUAAUUGAAUAAUAUUUGAAGAGUUGAUCAAACGAAAUCUGUGAGAUAACAAGAAAAACAAUAAAAUAUAGAAGACAAUAAUAGCGAUAAUGUUGAUGAUGAAAAUAAGAAUUCUGUGAAUCAUAAUAUUGAUGCAAAUAACAAUAAUGACAAUGAUAAUUAUAAUGAUAUAAGUAAUAAAAAUAAUGAUAAUAAAAUAAAUUGAC
rnacentral:lncRNA from 1 species